UUAAUUGAAACCAAAAAGAGGUAUAUUACUGUUAAUGAUAUCAUUGGAAAAACUCCCAAUUAAA
rnacentral:tRNA from 1 species